rnacentral:rRNA from 1 species
UACGGAGGAUGCGAGCGUUAUCCGGAUUUAUUGGGUUUAAAGGGAGCGUAGACGGGUCGUUAAGUCAGCUGUGAAAGUUUGAGGCUCAACCUUAAAAUUGCAGUUGAUACUGGCGUCCUUGAGUACGGUUGAGGCAGGCGGAAUUCGUGGUGUAGCGGUGAAAUGCAUAGAUAUCACGAAGAACCCCGAUUGCGAAGGCAGCCUGCUAAGCCGCGACUGACGUUGAGGCUCGAAAGUGUGGGUAUCAAACAGG